rnacentral:rRNA from 1 species
UGUCAAGUCGGAUGUGAAAUCCCCGGGCUCAACCUGGGAACUGCAUUCGAAACUGGCAGGCUUGAGUCUUGUAGAGGGGGGUAGAAUUCCAGGUGUAGCGGUGAAAUGCGUAGAGAUCUGGAGGAAUACCGGUGGCGAAGGCGGCCCCCUGGACAAAGACUGACGCUCAGGUGCGAAAGCGUGGGGAGCAAACAGGAUUAGAUACCCUGGUAGUCCACGCCGUAAACGAUGUCUACUUGGAGGUUGUGCCCUUGAGGCGUGGCUUCCGGAGCUAACGCGUUAAGUAGACCGCCUGGGGAGUACGGCCGCAAGGUUAAAACUCAAAUGAAUUGACGGGGGCCCGCACAAGCGGUGGAGCAUGUGGUUUAAUUCGAUGCAACGCGAAGAACCUUACCUGGUCUUGACAUCCACAGAACUUUCCAGAGAUGGAUUGGUGCCUUCGGGAACUGUGAGACAGGUGCUGCAUGGCUGUCGUCAGCUCGUGUUGUGAAAUGUUGGGUUAAGUCCCGCAACGAGCGCAACCCUUAUCCUUUGUUGCCAGCGGUCCGGCCGGGAACUCAAAGGAGACUGCCAGUGAUAAACUGGAGGAAGGUGGGGAUGACGUCAAGUCAUCAUGGCCCUUACGACCAGGGCUACACACGUGCUACAAUGGCGCAUACAAAGAGAAGCGACCUCGCGAGAGCAAGCGGACCUCAUAAAGUGCGUCGUAGUCCGGAUUGGAGUCUGCAACUCGACUCCAUGAAGUCGGAAUCGCUAGUAAUCGUGGAUCAGAAUGCCACGGUGAAUACGUUCCCGGGCCUUGUACACACCGCCCGUCACACCAUGGGAGUGGGUUGCAAAAGAAGUAGGUAGCUUAACCUUCGGGAGGGCGCUUACCACUUUGUGAUUCAUGACUGGGGUGAAGUCGUAACAAGGUAACCGUAGGGGAACCUGCGGUUGGA